rnacentral:rRNA from 1 species
AGUCGUAACAAGGUUUCCGUAGGUGAACCUGCGGAAGGAUCAUUAUUGAGAUAGGGGCGAAGGCCCCGAACCUCCCACCCGUGUCAACCUAACUCUUGUUGCCUUGGCGGGCCCGUGUUGGCUGGUCCGGCACCCCCGCUGCGGGGCGCGCCCGCCGAAGGCCUUAUCUAAAACCUUUUUCCACCGGUGACGUCUGAGCGACCACAUAAAAUAUAAAACUUUCAACAACGGAUCUCUUGGUUCUGGCAUCGAUGAAGAACGCAGCGAAAUGCGAUAAGUAAUGUGAAUUGCAGAAUUCAGUGAAUCAUCGAAUCUUUGAACGCACAUUGCGCCCUUUGGUAUUCCAAGGGGCAUGCCUGUUCGAGCGUCAUUAACCCCCUCAAGCAUCGCUUGGUAUUGGGCCUCCACCGCCUGAGGUGUGGCCCCAAACCCAUCGGCGGCCCGGUUCGACUUCAGGCGUAGUAGUUUUUCCGCCUCCGGAGUAUCGCGCCGGGCCUGCCCGACAACCACCGUCUUCCAUAAUUGACCUCGGAUCAGGUAGGGAUACCCGCUGAACUUA